ACCUGUAAACAGCUGUGAGGUCUGCCACCACAACCUCAUAAAACCCACCAAACCCAGCAAGGAAAACUGAUGACCUGAUCUCUGCCAAUAGGACAAGAUCGGAAGUGCAGUCCUCAAGCCUUCUGUGCUACCCUGCUGCAUCUGAGUGUAGACAGAACUCACUGUGCCCACCAGCAGGCUCUGCAUUUGGGGUCUGGACACCCCCCAUAUCUUGAUUGUUGGGGUGCACCAUAAGUGUGGGUGGGGCACACCACAAGUGUGAACAGAAACGGGUGUGCACUGUGGGUGUGUGUGUGGGGUGUUCCCCCAAGUGUGGCUAUGUGUGCAAACUCAUCAUGAGUUAGCAGAAACUUAGCACUUCUCUGGCAUGUGAAGUACCUGUCACCCUCUCCACUUUGGGCUCUACAGAGAGCUUUGUUGGGAUCUGGGCUGGACAGUGGGAAGGCUGUCACCAUGGCUGGUGUGGGCUGUGAUUGGGCACCUCAGCUCCACACUCUCCUUUGUGGUCAUCCAGUGUCCUGAAAGAGGGUCAGGGGGGACCUGAUCAGCUGAGUCCAGAGUGAAAGGCGGAAGGCCUGUGGGGAAGGUGCCUUUCGUAAUGACCAAGUGAAGGGGACUCCUGUGCAGAAUCUACGCUGAGAUGACAAAUGUUGACCUCUGAUUUUCCCUAAGAGUCUACAGUGUGAGCUCUGACUUGCACAGCAGGUCCCAGGUCCUUGUUCCUGGCAUGAGGCAAGGUUGUGUCUCUGUCCUGCAUGGUGGCCGCCCUGCUUCCAACUGAGGAGUCCCCUCUCUCCUGACUGCAAGCUUCCACCCUCCUCAGGUCGGCUGCCUGCUGUGUGGCUCUCACUGUUGUCCUUGGUCCUGUCAGGAGCUUUCAAGGCCCAGGAAAAAGAACCCAAAGGACACGGCCCCAGCUCCUUGGAGACACAAAUUUAAUAAGGCACAUGUGCUCCCCUCACUGUACGGGAUUGACCUGAGCAGAACAUUUGGAAUUCAAAAUGUUUUGACCUAAA